CCUACGGGAUGCAGCAGUGAGGAAUAUUGGUCAAUGGCCGAGAGGCUGAACCAGCCAAGUCGCGUGAGGGAAGAAUGUCCUAUGGAUUGUAAACCUCUUUUGUCAGGGAGUAAAGUCACCCACGUGUGGGUUUUGGAGAGUACCUUAAGAAAAAGCAUCGGCUAACUCCGUGCCAGCAGCCGCGGUAAUACGGAGGAUUCGAGCGUUAUCCGGAUUUAGUGGGUUUAAAGGGUGCGUAGGCGGGUUAUCAAGUCGGCGGUAAAAUCGUGGAGCUCAACUCCAUCCAGCCGUUGAAACUGAUGAUCUUGAGUGGGCGAGAAGUAUGCGGAAUGUGUGGUGUAGCGGUGAAAUGCAUAGAUAUCAAGAGGAAUACUCAUUGCGAAGGCGACCUACUGGAACAUGACUGACGCUCAUGCACGAAAGCGUGGGGAGCAAACAGGAUUAGAUACCCUUGUAGUC
rnacentral:rRNA from 1 species